GUGACUUCAAAAGAUGGUGUUCCAUUGAAUGAGUUAGUUUCCUAUUUAUUUGAUCAGGAAAGAAGCCGUGAGGACCUCGCAAGGAUGGUAAAUCUACAAGAGAUGCCAUUUACAAUAGUUGAACACCAAACUUUUUAGAUGUUUGUUAGGAACCUUAGACCAGAUUUUCAUAUUAUUUCAAGGACAACUAGAGCCGUGGAGGAUAAAGAUGCGAAGCAUUGUUUCUGCUGAGUGGGUGAUCUUUUAGCUGUGGUCGAAUAGAUUUUCAGCAAAUUUUGUAUAGGUAGUUCUGCCUUGCAAUAGCAUUCAAGGCAUUUUUGUUCUUUGUAGGUCGCUUUAUAUUGAGGAAACUGUGGUUCAUUAUGCAUGUUCUUAGUUAUGUAAUUCUAAAAUUCACUGAACAUGAUGCUAAUGCUAUGAUGCAUCCUUUUGGAUUGUCAUAUGGGGUAUAAUUUUGCUGUGAUGCUGAUGCUGUGACCAUUUGUUUGGAUUGUCAUAUGGGGUAGGAUUUUCCUUUGAAUAAUCCUGUAAGAAGAAAUAUAUCUUGGCAUAUCAAGAGAUGAAGUUAAUUUUGUAAUGCAGGAAGAUG
rnacentral:lncRNA from 1 species